rnacentral:rRNA from 1 species
AUUGAACGCUGGCGGCAUGCUUUACACAUGCAAGUCGAACGGUAACAGGCCGCAAGGUGCUGACGAGUGGCGAACGGGUGAGUAAUGCAUCGGAACGUGCCCAGUCGUGGGGGAUAACUACUCGAAAGAGUAGCUAAUACCGCAUACGAUCUAUGGAUGAAAGCGGGGGACCGUAAGGCCUCGCGCGAUUGGAGCGGCCGAUGUCAGAUUAGGUAGUUGGUGGGGAAAGGCUCACCAAGCCAACGAUCUGUAGCUGGUCUGAGAGGACGACCAGCCACACUGGGACUGAGACACGGCCCAGACUCCUACGGGAGGCAGCAGUGGGGAAUUUUGGACAAUGGGCGCAAGCCUGAUCCAGCAAUGCCGCGUGCAGGAAGAAGGCCUUCGGGUUGUAAACUGCUUUUGUACGGAACGAAACGGCUCUGGUUAAUACCCGGGGCUAAUGACGGUACCGUAAGAAUAAGCACCGGCUAACUACGUG